AGGGGAAAAUAAAAUUGAAAUCAUCCCCCCCCCAAACCCACAAAAUUUGUUCUUUCUGACUUUAAUCAUUUUUUGCCGAAGCUACUUGACCCUUGGUUUACUUUAAAACGGUGAUUCCAUUUUUGUAUAAACUAUUAAUUAACAAUCAGAUUAUAUUUGCUGUGGCUCCCAUGUUUGGUUAAGUUCAUUUAUAGCUGAAAAGAUGAUUUUCUAUGCUUACUUUAAAGUUUUAAGAAAUAUUAAAAGGGUAAAUCUAAUAUUCUUCACGGUCUAGAAGAACGUAUUUUUGACAAUUUUCCAGGGCUGCGACCGGCCAAUUUUUCAGCAGUGCCUCCCACCAGAAAUUGAGAGCCAGAAAUUGAGAGCUUGGGUAGCUGGUUAAGAUGCACACAACUAAUUAAGCACCGUCACCAGCAUAACGAUUAUUGAGAUCCUUAGCAACC